AACGCAUAUUGCGCCCUUUGGUAUUCCAAAGGGCAUGCCUGUUCGAGCGUCAUUAUCACCGUGUCAAGCUUGGCUUGUUGUUGGGCCCUGUCACCAGGUGACAGGUCCAAAAGAUAAUGACCGGCAUCGUACCGACUCUAUAUGCAACGAGCUGAUCACAGCACGCAUCUGGCAGUCUUACGGCCCGGUCUUGACCCCUUUAUUUCUCAAGGUUGACCUCGGAUCAGGUAGGAAUACCCGCUGAACUUAA
rnacentral:misc_RNA from 1 species